GAUUAAGCCAUGCAUGUGUAAGUAUAAAUAGUUAACUUUGAAACUGCGAAUGGCUCAUUAUAUCAGUUAUAGUUUAUUUGAUGAAGAAUACUAAUUGGAUAACCGUAGUAAUUCUAGAGCUAAUACAUGUAUAAAGUCUUGUAGACUGCAUUUAUUAGAAUGAAAACCAUAAGUUUCGGCCUAUUCUUGAGUAAUAAUAACUAAUCAUAUCGUAUGCUUAUGUAACGAUGUGUCUUUCAAGUUUCUGCCCUAUCAGCUUUCGAUGGUAGUGUAUUGGACUACCAUG
rnacentral:rRNA from 1 species